UACGUAGGGUGCAGGCGUUAAUCGGAAUUACUGGGCGUAAAGCGCGCGCAGGCGGUUUGCUAAGACAGGUGUGAAAUCCCCGGGCUUAACCUGGGAACUGCGCUUGUAACUGGCAGGCUUGAGUGUGGCAGAGGGGGGUGGAAUUCCACGUGUAGCAGUGAAAUGCGUAGAGAUGUGGAGGAACACCGAUGGCGAAGGCAGCCCCCUGGGCUAACACUGACGCUCAUGCACGAAAGCGUGGGGAGCAAACAGG
rnacentral:rRNA from 1 species